GUACUUCCAAAGUACAUAUACUAAAAUUGGAACGAUACAAAAAGAUUAGCAUGGCCCCUGCGCAAGGAUGACACGCAAUCUCGUGGUUAGGCUCUGCGGUUAU
rnacentral:snRNA from 1 species